rnacentral:rRNA from 1 species
CUACGGGAUGCAGCAGUGGGGAAUAUUGCACAAUGGAGGAAACUCUGAUGCAGCAACGCCGCGUGGAGGAUGACACUUUUCGGAGCGUAAACUCCUUUUAUAUAGGAAGAAGAUGACGGUACUAUAUGAAUAAGCGCCGGCUAACUCCGUGCCAGCAGCCGCGGUAAUACGGAGGGCGCAAGCGUUACUCGGAAUCACUGGGCGUAAAGAGCGUGUAGGCGGAUUAAAAAGUCAGAAGUGAAAUCCUAUAGCUUAACUAUAGAACUGCUUCUGAAACUCUUAAUCUAGAAUGUGGGAGAGGUAGAUGGAAUUUCUGGUGUAGGGGUAAAAUCCGUAGAGAUCAGAAGGAAUACCGAUUGCGAAGGCGAUCUACUAGAACAUUAUUGACGCUGAGACGCGAAAGCGUGGGGAGCAAACAGGAUUAGAUACCCUAGUAGUC